GUGUUGCAGACAGAAGUCAUCUGCUAUAGAAGCUCGGAUGGAAACUACCUGUUGGAGAAGUCCGACAGGAGUCUGAUUGCUGGAGAAGUUCAUUUGAAAUUUGUAUGAUGUAGAAGCUUGUCUGAAGACUUGUCCGUUGGAGAGGACCGGUUGCACAAGAAAUCUGACUGAAGGUCGGUCGAUAGAAGAGUCCGGAAGGCAUUAUGGAAGUUCAUCCGCUGGAGGAGUCUG
rnacentral:lncRNA from 1 species